rnacentral:pre_miRNA from 1 species
UGAGGUAGUAGGUUGUAUAGUUUGGGGGAUGGAGUAAAUCCUACCCAGGUGAUAACUAUACAGUCUAUUACCUUCC